GUUGUCACUCAUGUGGGAAACGAAGGCAGAACGACUUCAUAGCUGAUCACAUGCCACCAAAUAAACUUGUGAAGUUUUAUCAAUCCCAAAAAUUUUAUCCUCAGUGCAAGCCAUGUUCACAGAAACAAGGUAAUACAUGUACCAUUUCAAACAUGAGCAUCCGUUGUAUCUGAUAAAGCACACUAGUGUUUUAAAUGGCUUGAAAAACGACCCAUCUUAUGAGUUCAUUGGCGAAGUAAAUCAGCAUUAUUUACAAUGUUGCUUGCAAGAGAACAUCCGGUUUGACUGUAAUCGAGUUCAUCCAGUUUCCUGCAAAGGUAUACUCUUUUGAUAUUUCUCUUUAUAUAGGUGGUAUUCUAUCAUCAUUGAGCAAAACAAGCGCCAUUCAAACACAUGGAACCACUUUAAGAACGUAUCACCUUUGGUUGCCUGUUCCGCUUGGAAUUGCUGUUGUGAAAAAGGCAUUAGAUGACACAGAGUGAAAUAAAAUCAAAUAAAAAAUACAGCUUAUUCACCCAUCGAGUGGCAGCACUCUCUCGAGUAAAAUCGUCUGGCGUUAGACAGAGUAAACGUAUUACAAUAUAUCUCGUGUCCGCACGCACCAGACUGUAGUUCUGUUGUCCGGAGUUGCAUAAUCAAAUUGAGACCAGAUUUAAAGAUGCUGUACAGUCCGAUCUGCGCAUGUGCACAAGUGAGCCCUCUUUUAUUAUACAAACAGUUUAUUUAGGUUUUUAUUUCAUUUUAUGUUCUUGCAAAGCUUGACU
rnacentral:lncRNA from 1 species